rnacentral:rRNA from 1 species
GACGAACGCUGGCGGCGUGCUUAACACAUGCAAGUCGAGCGGAAAGGCUCCUUCGGGGGUACUCGAGCGGCGAACGGGUGAGUAACACGUGAGUAAUCUGCCCUGCGCCCUGGGAUAGCCACCGGAAACGGUGAUUAAUACCGGAUAUGACCACUCUAGGCAUCUAGUGGUGGUGGAAAGUUUUUCGGCGCAGGAUGUGCUCGCGGCCUAUCAGCUUGUUGGUGAGGUAAUGGCUCACCAAGGCUUUGACGGGUAGCCGGCCUGAGAGGGUGACCGGUCACACUGGGACUGAGACACGGCCCAGACUCCUACGGGAGGCAGCAGUGGGGAAUAUUGGACAAUGGGCGGAAGCCUGAUCCAGCAACGCCGCGUGAGGGAUGACGGCCUUCGGGUUGUAAACCUCUUUCAGUACCGACGAAGCGAAAGUGACGGUAGGUACAGAAGAAGGACCGGCCAACUACGUGCCAGCAGCCGCAGUAAGAC